AUAAGCGGAGGAAAAGAAACUAACAAGGAUUCCCCUAGUAACUGCGAGUGAAGCGGGAAAGGCUCAAAUUUAAAAUCUGUCAGUCUUUGGCUGUCCGAGUUGUAAUCUAGAGAAGUGUUAUCCGCGCUGGACCGUGUACAAGUCUCCUGGAAUGGAGCGUCAUAGAGGGUGAGAAUCCCGUCUCUGACACGGACUACCAGGGCUUUGUGAUGCGCUCUCAAAGAGUCGAGUUGUUUGGGAAUGCAGCUCAAAAUGGGUGGUAAAUUCCAUCUAAAGCUAAAUAUUGGCGAGAGACCGAUAGCGAACAAGUACCGUGAGGGAAAGAUGAAAAGAACUUUGGAAAGAGAGUUAAACAGUACGUGAAAUUGCUGAAAGGGAAACGCUUGAAGUCAGUCGCGUUGUCCAGGGAUCAACCUUGCUUUUGCUUGGUGUACUUUCUGGUUAACGGGUCAGCAUCAAUUUUGAUCAUUGGAAAAAGGUUAGGGGAAUGUGGCAUCUUCGGAUGUGUUAUAGCCCUUGAUUGCAUACAAUGGUUGGGAUUGAGGAACUCAGCACGCCGCAAGGCCGGGUUUUAACCACGUACGUGCUUAGGAUGCUGGCAUAAUGGCUUUAAUCGACCCGUCUUGAAACACGGACCAAGGAGUCUAACAUGCCUGCGAGUGUUUGGGUGGAAAACCCGAGCGCGUAAUGAAAGUGAAAGUUGAGAUCCCUGUCGUGGGGAGCAUCGACGCCCGGACCAGACCUUUUGUGACGGUUCCGCGGUAGAGCAUGUAUGUUGGGACCCGAAAGAUGGUGAACUAUGCCUGAAUAGGGUGAAGCCAGAGGAAACUCUGGUGGAGGCUCGUAGCGAUUCUGACGUGCAAAUCGAUCGUCAAAUUUGGGUAUAGGGGCGAAAGACUAAUCGAACCAUCUAGUAGCUG
rnacentral:rRNA from 1 species